GACGAACGCUGGCGGCGUGCUUAACACAUGCAAGUCGAACGGAAAGGCCCUUCGGGGUACUCGAGUGGCGAACGGGUGAGUAACACGUGGGUGAUCUGCCCUGCACUUUGGGAUAAGCCUGGGAAACUGGGUCUAAUACCGAAUAGGACCACGCGCUUCAUGGUGUGUGGUGGAAAGCUUUUGCGGUGUGGGAUGGGCCCGCGGCCUAUCAGCUUGUUGGUGGGGUAAUGGCCUACCAAGGCGACGACGGGUAGCCGGCCUGAGAGGGUGACCGGCCACACUGGGACUGAGAUACGGCCCAGACUCCUACGGGAGGCAGCAGUGGGGAAUAUUGCACAAUGGGCGCAAGCCUGAUGCAGCGACGCCGCGUGAGGGAUGACGGCCUUCGGGUUGUAAACCUCUUUCAAUAGGGACGAAGCGCAAGUGACGGUACCUAUAGAAGAAGCACCGGCCAACUAUGUG
rnacentral:rRNA from 1 species